AACGAACGCUGGCGGCAUGCCUAACACAUGCAAGUCGAACGAGACCUUCUGGUCUAGUUGCGCACGGGUGCGUAACGCGUGGGAACCUUCCCUUAGGUUCGGAAUAACUCCCGAAAGGGGGGCUAAUACCGGAUAAUGUCUUCGGACCAAAGAUUUAUCUCCUUUGGAGGGGCCCGCGUUGGAUUAGCUAGUUGGUAGGGUAAAAGCCUACUAAGGCGACGAUCCAUAGCUGGUCUGAGAGGAUGAUCAGCCACACUGGGACUGAGACACGGCCGAGACUCAUACGGGAGGCAGCAGUGGGGAAUAUUGGACAAUGGGCGAGAGCCUGAUCCAGCAAUGCCGCGUGAGUGAUGAAGGCAUUAGGGUUGUAAAGCUCUUUUACCCGGGAUGAUAAUGACAGUACCGGGAGAAUAAGCGCCGGCUAACUCCGUG
rnacentral:rRNA from 1 species